CAGGACGAACGCUGGCGGCGUGCCUAAUACUUGCAAGUCGAGCGGACUGAAGGGAGCUUGCUGCCGGAUGUUAGCGGCGGACGGGUGAGUAACACGUGGGUUACCUGCCUGUAAGACUGGGAUAACUCCUGGAAACCGGAGCUAAUACUGGAUAGUUCCUUGAACCGCAUGGUUCAAGGAUGAUAGACGGUUUCGGCUGUCUCUUACAGAU
rnacentral:rRNA from 1 species